AAUGUUGGACAAUGGGGGCAACCCUGAUCCAGCCAUCCCGCGUGUUCGAUGAAGGACGUCGGGAUGUAAAGCACUCUUGUCAGGGAAGAAAAGGCGCCGGAUAAGACCUGGCGCCGCUGACGGUACCUGCAGCAUAAGCACCGGCUAACUACUUGCCUGCAGCCGCGGUAAUACGUAGGGUGGAAGCGCUAAUAGGAAUUACUGGGCGGAAAGCGUGCGCAGGCGGUUCGGAAAGAAAGUUGUGGAAUCCCAGGGCUUAACCUUGGAACUGCAUUUUUAACUGCCGGGCUAGAGUAUGUCAGAGGGGGGUAGAACUCCACGUGUAGCAGUGAAAUGCGUAGAGAUGUGGAGGAAUACCGAUGGCGAAGGCAGCCCCCUGGGAUAAUACUGACGCUCAGACACGAAAGCGUGGGGAGCAAAC
rnacentral:rRNA from 1 species